GCAAAAGUCAAGGAAGAGCAAUUGAUUCUGAGACGUAUUCAGCAUUCUAUAUUUAGCAGCAACUUCGUCGUCAAUUUCGUGAGAGUGACAUUCACCAAUCACCUUAGUAACAAUUCUCAAAAUAAUAUCUUGAUGCUGAGAAGGUAGCUUCGAAAUAUUUGCCAAAACCAUAGGGGCCAUGUGCACCUUUUCCUUUGGACCUAGACGAUCAA
rnacentral:misc_RNA from 1 species